UCUUUCUUUCUUUCUUUCUUUCUUUCUUUCUUUCUCUGUCUCUCACUCCUCUCUCUCGCUUUCUUUUUCUCUCUUUCUUUCUCUGUCUCUCGCUCCUCUGUCUCUCUCGCUUUCUUUCUGUCUCUCGCUAUUCUGUCUCUCCCGCUGCUGCUGCUGAGAUAAUACGGGUCACCCUGUAAAAGGUCAUUAAAACACAAGGUUCUGACUUUUUCAGCACAACUCUUAACUGAAAAAUCUGUGUUUUUCCAACCAGCCUAUCUUCCACAGCUUGGUGUGGAGCAGGACACUUUUUGUUGUUGUAAUGUAACGGUUUGUUCUCUUUAGUGUUACAUAUACUGUAUAAGGUUACACAAACAUUGAGGCCCUGUCACACACAUGGGCAAAUAAUGAUGAAUCAAAACAUGUUGAUUGUUGCCUAGAUGUAGUGAUAUGGGCUAACGGUUUAGCAAUCAAAUGUGUUAUUUUCUGGAAAUAUGCUACAUUCAGUUUCAGACUGAAGAAUUGUUCUCAUCUCGCUCUGAACAUACUGUUGAGUGAUAGUCAUAGGAAAGGUUAGAGGGUAUGUCUAACAUGCGUUUCAAUUUCUGGUGUAGAUACAUUUACUCAAGUUGUACAUUUACUCAAAGAAAUCACAUUUGGAUAUGUAACCUUUUUAUUGUGUGAAUGUUCCGCUGUCCCAUUGUAUGAUAUUCUGACAGUCCGGUUGUUGUUAGUAUUGAUGAAUGACCGAGAGAGAUUCUGUCUUGUCAGAUUGUUGGUAGUGGGUUGUAGGUUGAAGGAGGGCGGACAACAUCCUGUCUGGGACUGUUAUCAGAUAAGACUCAGUGUUGAGGAGCAACAUUAAGGUGUGUGUUUGUCUCAGUAAUGGCAAAAUGGAAACCCUCUGGUGCCGUUGUAACAAAAGCUGCUUUUACAUAGUCUGGCCCUGGCCAUGUUCUUUCUGUCGUUCAACUCUCUGGGUCUCUCCCUCUGUGCACUUCCCUGCUAAUGCCGUGCCAUCUGUUGAAGGGGGUUCUGAGGGUGAUUUUUGUACACACACACAAGAAUAUGUCUGACAUGUUUCUGUGGAUUGACACAAUGGGUAUAGCGUAGUGGUUCAGGCUGAGUGGUGGAUCAGGUUACUGUUUGUAUAUUGGGAGAAACUGAAGAGGAACAGUAGCAGUCUAUUAGCAAGUCCCUGUACCACCUUGAGUUGCGGGUAUUUGGCCCAUUGGAUUUGGUUUAACAGAUGCCCCCCGUCCAGAGAGCUACAACCAUUCUGCCAUUACUGUGGGUCUGUUAGUUGGGCCUCUGUAUCAGCUUAACCAUGAGUUACUUAGUGUUUUUCAUGGCGUUUCAAUAUGAGGCUUUUUAUUUCAGCUUUUUUUUACGUUCGUUUUAAAAAGCUUUUCCAUUUGUGUGUAUCCUCUGCACUUUACUUCUGCGUGAGCGAGUCGAUGUGAAGGGAGGGACUGACGAUGCAUUGUGUGAGUGAAGUGAUGUGUUGGGUCAUGGAGGAGGGAGGUGGUUGGUUUGGUGAGUGGCUGUUUGAGUAAGGAAAAGGAGGAGAAUCAAUCUGGAGGUGGAUAGCGUGGAAGGGACCAUGGCAUAAGGAAAUGUUUUGUUUAGUUCAUAAAUUUGUUGAAUUUUUUUCCUGUAAGUCAAUAGACUGGCUCUAAUAUGGACUCCCAAAGAGAGAAGUUGUAAUGUUGGGCCUUUUUUAAUAAUGUACAUUUAACAGACUCUGCUAACUUUCAGAAGUAAAAAACGAGUAGCCAUAAUUAUCACAUAUUUGUGUGCUGUCGUGUGUUCUUCUCUGUCAGAUCCUAUGUGGUAUUGGUAGCUUCAUG
rnacentral:lncRNA from 1 species